CCUCCUAAUCAAAAACAUGACUUUGAUCUCCGUCCUCAUCUGGACUCUCCUCUGCUGCUGCUUCACAGAGUCCAGAGGCCAGAUCACAGUGACUCAGCCCACAGAAAUCCUCCUCAUCAAAAACAUGACUUUGAUCUCCGUCCUCAUCUGGACUCUCCUCUGCUGCUGCUUCACAGAGUCCAGAGGCCAGAUCACAGUGACUCAGCCCACAGAAAUCCUCCUCAUCAAAAACAUGACUUUGAUCUCCGUCCUCAUCUGGACUCUCCUCUGCUGCUGCUUCACAGAGUCCAGAGGCCAGAUCACAGUGACUCAGCCAGCAGCAGUGAGAGCUGAUCUGAGAGGAUCUGCAACCAUCAGCUGUAGGUACAGUCAGGCUGUUAAUAAAGGGGCCUACUAUGACCAAAACUGGUAUCAACAGAAAGAUGGAAAAAUAAUUAAACGGCUCAUUUAUUGGACUGAUCACCGAGCAUCAGGGAUUCCAGGUCGUUUUUCAGGCAGUGGAUCAAACUCUGACUACACUCUGACCAUCAGUGGAGUUCAGGCUGAAGAUGCAGCAGUUUAUUACUGUGAGGGCCGACACUUAAUCAACAGUCAGUUUGAGUACACACAGUGA